AGGGUUUGAUCAUGGCUCAGUACGUACGCUGGCGGCACGCCUAACACAUGCAAGUCGAACGAAGUAGCAAUACUUAGUGGCAGACGGGUGAGUAACAUGUAGGUAUCUGCCCUUUGGCCUGGAAUAACACGAGGAAACUUGUGCUAAUACCGGAUAAGUCUUUACGGAGAAAGCUUUAUGCACCAUUGGAUGAGCCUGCACUUGAUUAGUUUGUUGGUGGGGUAAUGGCCUACCAAGACUGUGAUCAAUAGCUGAUUUGAGAGGAUGAUCAGCCACAUUGGGACUGAGACACGGCCCAAACUCCUACGGGAGGCAGCAGUGGGGAAUCUUGCACAAUGGAGGAAACUCUGAUGCAGCGAUGCCGCGUGAGUGAAGAAGGCCCUUGGGUUGUAAAGCUCUUUCGUCGGGGAAGAAAAUGACUGUACCCGAAUAAGAAGGUCCGGCUAACUUCGUGCCAGCAGCCGCGGUAAUACGAAGGGACCUAGCGUAGUUCGGAAUUACUGGGCUUAAAGAGUUCGUAGGUGGUUGAAAAAGUUGGUGGUGAAAUCCCAGAGCUUAACUCUGGAACUGCCAUCAAAACUUUUCAGCUAGAGUAUGAUAGAGGAAAGCAGAAUUUCUAGUGUAGAGGUGAAAUUCGUAGAUAUUAGAAAGAAUACCAAUUGCGAAGGCAGCUUUCUGGAUCAUUACUGACACUGAGGAACGAAAGCAUGGGUAGCGAAGAGGAUUAGAUACCCUCGUAGUCCAUGCCGUAAACGAUGUGUGUUAGACGUUGGAAAUUUAUUUUCAGUGUCGCAGCGAAAGCGAUAAACACACCGCCUGGGGAGUACGACCGCAAGGUUAAAACUCAAAUGAAUUGACGGGGACCCGCACAAGUAGUGGAGCAUGUGGUUUAAUUCGAAGAUACGCGCAGAACCUUACCAACACUUGACAUGUUCGUCGCGACUUUAAGAGAUUAGAGUUUUCGGUUCGGCCGGACGAAACACAGGUGCUGCAUGGCUGUCGUCAGCUCGUGUCGUGAGAUGUUGGGUUAAGUCCCGCAACGAGCGCAACCCUCACUUUUAGUUGCCAUCAUUAAGUUGGGCACUCUGAAAGAACUGCCAGUGAUAAGCUGGAGGAAGGUGGGGAUGACGUCAAGUCCUCAUGGCCCUUACGUGUUGGGCUACACACGUGCUACAAUGGUAUCUACAACAGGAAGCAAAACCGCGAGGUUAAGCAAAUCCUUAAAAGAUACCUCAGUUCGGAUUGCACUCUGCAACUCGAGUGCAUGAAGCUGGAAUUACUAGUAAUCGUGGAUCAGCGUGCCACGGUGAAUGCGUUCCCGGGUCUUGUACACACCGCCCGUCACACCAUGGGAGUUGGUUCUACCUUAAGGCAAGGUUUAAAACCCUUGACCACGGUAUAGUCAGCGACUGGGGUGAAGUCAUAACAAGGUAACCGUA
rnacentral:rRNA from 1 species